UUGACUUAUUUUAAAAGUAACUCAGAGAUGACAUUGAAGAGUUUUGUGCCGCGGCCAGGGCGGCUCUCGCCGCCACCGGCCUGCUGAGCAACCGGUCGUGUUCACAAUGGUUGGGGGUUUAGGCCGAAGCCACCCAGUAAUGAUCCCUCCGCUGGUUCACCAACGGAGA
rnacentral:misc_RNA from 1 species